CAAAGUGUAGCUUAUUUAGUUAAGUAUUUCAUUUACACUGAAGUGAAAUUUGUGCAAAUCAAUUUGCUUUGA
rnacentral:tRNA from 1 species